CCUGCCCCCUGAAAACUUUAAAGGGCCGCGGUAUUUGAACCGUGCUAAGGUAGCAUAAUAAAUAGUCUUUUAAUUGAGGUCUAGUAUGAACGGUUGGACAUGAAGUACUCUGUUUUAAUUAUAAAAUUUGAAUUUUACUUUUAAGUGAAAAGGCUUAAAUUGUAUGGUGGGACGAUAAGACCCUAUAAAGCUUUACAUUUUAUCAGUAUAGCUGGGGAAUUUAUGGUUUUCUAUGCUUGACGGGUCAAGUGGUUUCGUUGGGGCGACGAAAAUAUAAAAUGGUAACUGUUUUUGGUUUAAAAAUAAAUUUUUUUAGGUGUUAAGAUCCUUUAUAGAGAUUAUAAGAAUAAAGUUACUUUAGGGAUAACAGCGUAAUUUUUCUUGAGAGUUCAUAUCGACAGAAUUAGUUGCGACCUCGAUGUUGAAUUAAGAUGCCCCUUAGGUGUAGCAGUUUUAGUGGUAGGUCUGUUCGACCUUUAAAAUCUUACAUGAUUUGAGUUCAGACCGGCGUG
rnacentral:rRNA from 1 species